rnacentral:rRNA from 1 species
UACAGAGGUCCCAAGCGUUGUUCGGAUUCACUGGGCGUAAAGGGUGCGUAGGUGGCGUGGUAAGUCGGAUGUGAAAGCUCGGAGCUCAACUCCGAAAUGGCAUUGGAAACUACCUUGCUCGAGGGUUGGAGGGGGGACUGGAAUACUUGGUGUAGCAGUGAAAUGCGUAGAUAUCAAGAGGAACACCAGUGGCGAAGGCGAGACCCUGGACAACACCUGACACUGAGGCACGAAAGCGUGGGGAGCAAACAGG